GGGGCUGAAGUAGGUCCCAAGGGUAUGGCUGUUCGCCAUUUAAAGUGGGACGCGAGCUGGGUUUAGAACGUCGUGAGACAGUUCGGUCCCUAUCUGCCGUGGGCGCUGGAGAACGGAGGGGGGCUGCUCCUAGUACGAGAGGACCGGAGUGGACGCAUCACUGGUGUUCGGGUUGUCAUGCCAAUGGCACUGCCCGGUAGCUAAAUGCGGAAGAGAUAAGUGCUGAAAGCAUCUAAGCACGAAACUUGCCCCGAGAUGAGUUCUCCCUGACUCCUUGAGAGUCCUGAAGGAACGUUGAAGACGACGACGUUGAUAGGCCGGGUGUGUAAGCGCAGCGAUGCGUUGAGCUAACCGGUACUAAUGAACCGUGAGGCUUAACCUUACAACGCCGAAG
rnacentral:rRNA from 1 species